ANNGANAANACNACAGGGAUUGCCUCAGUAACGGCGAGUGAAGCGGCAACAGCUCAAAUUUGAAAGCUGGCUCCGUUAGGGGUCCGCGUUGUAAUUUGUAGAGGAUGCUUCGGGCGCGGCGCCGGUCUAAGUUCUUUGGAACAAGACGUCAUAGAGGGUGAGAAUCCCGUAUGUGACUGGUUGCCUGUGCCCAUGUGAAGCUCCUUCGACGAGUCGAGUUGUUUGGGAAUGCAGCUCAAAAUGGGUGGUAAAUUUCAUCUAAAGCUAAAUAUUGGCCAGAGACCGAUAGCGCACAAGUAGAGUGAUCGAAAGAUGAAAAGCACUUUGGAAAGAGAGUUAAACAGUACGUGAAAUUGUUGAAAGGGAAGCGCUUGCAAUCAGACUUGCGCGGCGUCGAUCAGCCUGGGUUCUCCCAGGUGCACUCGGCGCCGCUCAGGCCAGCAUCAGUUUCGACGGUGGGAUAAAGGCCUAGGGAACGUGGGUCACUUCGGUGACCGUUAUAGCCCUAGGUGCCAUGCCGCCUGUUGGGACUGAGGACCGCGCUUCGGCUAGGAUGCUGGCGUAAUGGUUGUAAGCGACCCGUCUUGAAACACGGACCAAGGAGUCUAACAUCUAUGCGAGUGUUGGGGUGGGGAAA
rnacentral:rRNA from 1 species